rnacentral:rRNA from 1 species
UACGUAGGGGGCGAGCGUUUGUCCGGAAUCAUUGGGCGUAAAGCGCGUGUAGGCGGCUCGAUAAGUCCGGUGUGAAACCUUGGGCUCAACCCAAGCCUGCACUGGAUACUGCCGAGCUAGAGUCCGGGAGGGGAGAGCGGAAUUCCUAGUGUAGCGGUGAAAUGCGCAGAUAUUAGGAAGAACACCGGUGGCGAAGGCGGCUCUCUGGAACGGUACUGACGCUGAGACGCGAAGCGUGGG